AACGAACGCUGGCGGCAGGCUUAACACAUGCAAGUCGAGCGCCCCGCAAGGGGAGCGGCAGACGGGUGAGUAACGCGUGGGAACGUACCCUUUGCUACGGAAUAGCUCCGGGAAACUGGAAUUAAUACCGUAUGUGCCCUACGGGGGAAAGAUUUAUCGGCAAAGGAUCGGCCCGCGUUGGAUUAGCUAGUUGGUGGGGUAAUGGCCUACCAAGGCGACGAUCCAUAGCUGGUCUGAGAGGAUGAUCAGCCACAUUGGGACUGAGACACGGCCCAGACUCCUACGGGAGGCAGCAGUGGGGAAUAUUGGACAAUGGGCGAAAGCCUGAUCCAGCAAUGCCGCGUGAGUGAUGAAGGCCUUAGGGUUGUAAAGCUCUUUUACCCGGGAUGAUAAUGACAGUACCGGGAGAAUAAGCUCCGGCUAACUCCGUGCCAGCAGCCGCAGUAAAAC
rnacentral:rRNA from 1 species